UUGCUUUCCGGAUAAUGCUGUUUUAUUGUAUCAAUCAGUAAUUAGUAGUGCACGGUGUUUGUCUAAGAAAACAAUAAUAUCAAAUCAUAUCCAAUACAUGAAAUCUAACAAUUACUGGUUGAUAUUACUGAUGGCGCAUUAUCUAAAGGCAACUAAAUUCACAGAUCAUACCAUUUGAAAAGAGAUAAGGGAUAGAAUAAACAGAUAUUUUGGCGAUACUGGAAAUAACUGUACUUAAUAAGUACAGGAAUAACUUGGACGAUUUUAUGAAACAUGCUGGAAUAAGAUGGAUGUCAACAUUGGCUAAAGACCACUAAAAAAUAAGAUUUAUUAGUGCACAAACAUUUUUGAGCCAGCUAUAUUGCAGACAAGUGUCAUUGAACUCAAGUGAUGCUAAAACGGAUACACAAAAACGUACCAAGCCAUAUAAACAGAAAAAAUAUGGCAAGUUCAUAUUAAUUCAACUUUACAAACCUCUGUCUCCAAUUCCUUGUGCUACCUGAUCGUUUGUACUGGAACUUUGAUUCUGACUCCCGCAUAGAUCUUUGGUACUGUUUCAUCUUCACCCACGAACGCCCGG